GGGCCCGCACAAGCGGUGGAGCAUGUGGUUUAAUUCGAUGCAACGCGAAGAACCUUACCAGGUCUUGACAUGUCACUUUUUUUCUUGAAAAAGAAAGUUCCCGAGUGAACACAGGUGGUGCAUGGCUGUCGUCAGCUCGUGUCUUGAGAUGUUGGGUUAAGUCCCGCAACGAGCGCAACCCUUAUUCUGUGUUGCUAUUUAUAGGAAACUCAGAAGACUGCCGGUGAUAAGCCGGAGGAAGGUGAGGAUGACGUCAAGUCAGCAUGCCCCUUACGACCUGGGCCACACACGUGCUACAAUGGCCGGGACAAAGAGAUGCAAUCUCGCGAGAGCAAGCUAACCUCAAAAACCCGGUCUUAGUUCGGAUUGUAGGCUGAAACUCGCCUACAUGAAGCUGGAAUC
rnacentral:rRNA from 1 species